rnacentral:lncRNA from 1 species
UGGAGAGCAGGGUGUAGGGCUCUCCUCCUCUGCAGAUGCCUCCAUCGCUGCCUUUGAGCUGCUUUCAGAUGUUUAGAUAGCCAAAUCCUUGCUGAAUCUGGAGCUGGGAGAAGCUGAAGGAAGCCAGUCAGAGAGAGAUACCCUCUGGUCCUGGGAAUAAGAGAUCCAUGGGGAGAGGUGCAAGGUAUUUGUGAAAAGGUGUCAUCCUACUCUUGGUGUGUUGCCUGCAGGCAAGCUUCAGGGGCUGGAUUUCUUCAAGAGGCAAAACUGAAGAUUAGUUUAAUAUUGCUGAGGUAACUUUGGCACCCAUGCUGCUGGCUGAACUGCUCCUAGCAAGGCCUACGUGUAGAGAUGGUGAUGCUACAGACCUCUAGGAAUGCCAUGUAGAAAAGGACUCCAAAAUGACAGAUGUGUGCGAAUUCCUGCGGCAACUGCUGGGCAGAGAUACGUGCUGGAAGCCAGUCCCUUCCUAUGACAUGCUUCAUCCUGCAUGCCAGAGAGCCAGUGACCACAUACACUGUGCUUACUGUGUCUUCUUUCAGUUGACUCCCUUGCUGAGAAGGAGGAUAACAGAUAUACC